GGCCUCGUUGCUCAUUUGGCUAGAGCCUUAGCUGUACUUAAGCCUUCCCGUUGCUGGCAUGGGUUCAAAUCCCACCGAGGUCG
rnacentral:tRNA from 1 species